rnacentral:misc_RNA from 1 species
UUUUUUUUUCUUUUUUUUUUUCUUGGGAGGAGGGGGCGGCGUAUUGGUUUAGUUUGGUUGGUUCUGAUUUAGAUGAGAGCUUGUUGUGGCUUUUGGCUUUGCAGCUGAUUGGUCCAGAAAUUUUAGUCUUUGUUGGAGCAAUCAAUUUGGGGGUGGCCCCUCUCUCUUCUUCUUCUUUGAAUAAGCUUUGUCUACUUACCAUCUUUAUAGGCCUUGAAGAAGGUUGUUUAGAUUACUGAGUUCCUUGAAAUUAUUGAGGUUUGAAUGUCUUACUGUGGCAUGCUUUUGAUUUAGUUAGGCGUUAUGUGCCUUUGCUGCUGAUCGGCUGGACCUAAAGCGCUUCAGUUCUUCAGUGUGUUUUUAACCCAUUUUUGUCUGAAUAUGGACUAUGCCACUUUUAGGGUCGUGACCAUUUUUAUGGGUUGAGGAUUUAAAGCUUUACAGCAUUUUUCUGCAGUCCAGUUUCUGCAUGUUACAGUGCAGAGGUAAGGCAUAAGUAAUUCAUGGAGAAGAUAUAAACAUAUUGUUCAACUAGGGAGCUUCAGGUUAGAAUAAUGUUUUGGCGUGAGUGUUGCAUCAACUGUCCAGGGUGGAAUUUUAGACAUCCAGUCAAUGGUAAAAAUUGGAUUAAUGACACAUCUGGCCUGAAUCUAGCACCUAUUUGCAUAAUCCUGGUACUCAUGAAUAGAUUUAAUUUUAAAUGCACUUGCUUUUACUUUGACUUUCUGAACUGUAUAGGUCAAUUUUGUUCUAUUGACUCUACAUAAUUCUGGCAUGGUGUUGAUCCUAACUGCUUCAAAAUUUUCAGAGUGGUGCUAAUGAAAAUUAUUUCCUAUACUCUUUUUGGAUAUAUAUAUAUAUAUAUAUAUUACUUGAAGUGAUGGCCUGCACUGAAUUAAAUCCACUUGUUGCUGAUCUAUUUCGUGCUGCAGUCUUUCCUACCUAAUUAAACAGAAAGUGCCAAUUUUGAUUGGCCUGAGUUCGAAUGGAAAUAUAUCCAUGUGGAAUAUUUGUUUAAUGUGCUAUUGUUGUUUUAAAUUUUGGAUACCUGUACUAUAUAUUAAUAUUGAUUGCUGUUUAUGUGCAUAGAUAUGUGGAGAUAUCCAUGGGC